GUUAAAAAAAUCAGUUCAGACCUAGAGAGAGAGAGACAGAGAGGGAGAGGGAGAGAGAGCGAGAGAGAGAGAGGGAGGAGCGAGUGUGUAUGCGAGCGAGUGUGUAUGCGAGGGAGUGUGCGUGUGAGCAAGAGGGCGAGAGCGAGGAGCCGAGGCAGCGAGGGGGGGUGGGAAAAAAAGGAAAAGAAGAUUUUUUCCUCUAUGUAUAUAAAGAUGGCCACGUUAGCGAACGGACAAGCAGACAAUCCCAGCCUCAGUAGCAACCACACUAACCCCAACCCCAGCGGGCACAUGAACGGAUUUAACCACAGUCCCGGGAACCCGUCCACCAUUCCCAUGAAGGACCACGAUGCCAUCAAGCUCUUCAUUGGGCAGAUCCCUCGCAACCUGGACGAGAAGGACCUCAAGCCCCUCUUCGAAGAGUUCGGAAAGAUCUACGAACUGACCGUGCUCAAGGACCGGUUCACGGGCAUGCACAAAGGUUGUGCCUUCCUAACAUACUGUGAAAGGGAGUCCGCUCUAAAAGCCCAGAGUGCGCUGCACGAACAGAAGACGCUGCCAGGGAUGAACAGACCGAUCCAGGUGAAACCGGCGGACAGCGAGAGCCGAGGAGAAGACAGAAAACUCUUUGUGGGCAUGCUCAACAAACAACAGUCAGAGGAUGACGUGCGCAGGCUAUUUGAGGCGUUCGGCAACAUUGAGGAGUGUACGAUCCUUCGGGGCCCAGACGGCAACAGCAAAGGGUGUGCGUUUGUGAAAUAUUCCUCGCAUGCGGAAGCCCAGGCGGCCAUCAAUGCGUUGCACGGAAGCCAGACGAUGCCGGGGGCAUCGUCGAGCCUGGUGGUCAAGUUUGCCGACACGGAUAAGGAGCGCACCAUGAGGCGCAUGCAGCAAAUGGCCGGGCAGAUGGGCAUGUUCAACCCCAUGGCGAUCCAGUUUGGAGCAUACGGCGCAUAUGCACAGGCAAUGCAGCAACAAGCGGCCAUUAUGGCGUCCGUGGCCCAAGGUGGUUACCUCAACCCCAUGGCGGCUUUUGCAGCAGCUCAGAUGCAGCAGAUGGCCGCCCUGAACAUGAACGGUCUUGCCGCCACGCCCAUGACACCCACCUCAGGUGGCAGCACGCCUCCGGGCAUCACUGCAUCAGCCGUGCCUAGCAUCCCCUCUCCAAUUGGGGUAAACGGUUUCACUGGCCUACCGCCUCAAGCCAAUGGGCAGCCCGCUGCAGAAGCUGUCUUUGCCAACGGCAUCCAUCCUUACCCAGCACAGAGUCCAACCGCAGCCGACCCCUUGCAACAAGCCUACGCCGGAGUGCAGCAGUAUGCAGGUCCUGCUUACCCUGCUGCGUAUGGCCAGAUUAGCCAAGCCUUUCCACAGCCGCCUCCCAUGAUCCCGCAACAACAGAGAGAAGGACCAGAGGGCUGCAACCUGUUUAUCUACCAUCUCCCCCAGGAGUUUGGGGACCCAGAGCUGAUGCAGAUGUUCCUGCCAUUCGGUAAUGUCAUCUCCUCGAAAGUGUUUGUGGAUCGGGCGACAAACCAAAGUAAAUGCUUUGGUUUUGUGAGUUUCGACAAUCCGGCGAGCGCUCAAGCCGCAAUCCAGGCUAUGAACGGCUUCCAGAUUGGCAUGAAGAGGCUGAAAGUGCAGCUGAAAAGGCCGAAGGAUGCUAACCGCCCCUACUGAAGCAUGGUGGGAAACUCUGGAUAAGCAAGGUCUAGCACAGAGCCAGUCAAAUCCACCACAGUCUCGCGCUGAGCUAGGAAAAAAGUUCACGUAAUGACAGGAAAGUGGAGAAUACAGAGUCCCCCCAGUCCGGCAUCAGCUGAAUGGGCCGCAUUUAGAGAAAUAUACAUAUAUAUAUAUUAAAUAAAUAUAUAUAGGAACGAGAACUGUUGGAUUACACCUUUAACAUAUCAGCAAAUAUCAGUCAAGCUGAAGACUUCAGAUUUACUCUCUUUCUGAUUGUUGAGACUAAACAUUUUCUUCAAGAAAAGUCACCAUCAGCUGGGUCCGAAGGACAAUGCUUGAAAAACGAAACGUAUAACAACCAAUCACAAGAACAAGAUUGACUAGGAUUUCUGCAGAAAACUGAUGUCAUCACAGCGACUUUCCUCCAAACAGGAAAUGCAAACCUUGAUACUGAAAAAGGAGUGCCUGUUUGCCACCAAGGAUGCGGUUGCUAUGGAGACCCCAUGGCAACCAGUCACUAAGCAUCUAUCUGUCAUUCCUUAGCUAUAUAGGGACCAAAGGACAUAACUUUUUAUCGCAAACUUGUAGCUGUAUGUAAAUUACAGAAGUUCUUUCCUUUUCUCUUUAGCUGUUCCUAUAACAGUUUUUGAGAGCAAUUAUAUGAAAUAUGUAAAAAUUGAAAAAAAAAAUGCUUAAAACGCUUUUAACAAAUGGCAAGAUAAUAGUUCUUUGAUACUUUGGAGGAUCUUUGGUUAUACAUUAGUUAGAGUCUACGAAACUUUCAUAUGGUUUUCUGUAUAAUAUGUAUGGAUUGAGUGGUUAAAAGGGCAGGUAAAGGAGGGUUAUCUGUGAAAAGCAAAAAAAAACCUAAAUAAAAAAAUCAAUUAAAAAAACAGAUCGGUGGGCCAGAAAGUAAAGAAGGAAAAAGAACUCUGAUACAAAGUAGAAAGUGAACAAAUUUGUAAAUGCUUCUGACCCCACCCCCUUUAAAUUCUAAUAGUUGUACAGAAUUUAAAAAAAAGAAAAAACUUUAAAAUACCUAUAUUAAGGGGUGGGUGGGGAGGAUUAGACAACAUAAAAAGCAAAAAAAGCAAAAAAAUAUACAUAGAAGUUAGCAUUACUGCUAAAAAAACAAAGAUGUAGUAGAACUGUAACUUUUGUAGAGUUUAGAUUGAACUCAGUUCCUGCUCUCAGCCAAUCGCUGUUGGAAGCUGUGUCUUAUCAGGGAGGGGGCGGGGCAAAGGAGACGAAGGCUUUACAUGGCAGCUUUUUUAACUGCAACCAUUCCAGCUAGUAAUACGUCAAGAAAUAACCGAAUAAGCCAAGAAUCAAAAUGCUCAACUCCUGUAGACCGUGCAAGUGGAAAACGAACUGCUGUCUUCUGACGAACUGUCCAAAGUUUGUUCGAAAACUUGGCUAAAGGCGAAACGAAGCCACAGCAAAGAUGCUUUCAUAUUUCCAUGAGCUGUUGCAAGCAACCUCCCGUCAUCUUUCGCUUCAGUAGAUUCCAUAUUUGCUCUAGAAUCCUUCAGGACAAGGGGUGGGGCGGGGCGGGGGUUUAGCCUAGAACCUUAAUCUUAAAAAAACAAAAACGCUAAAAAAAAUAAAAACACAAAAAGAAAAAACCACAAAAAAUGCAAUCUCUUUGAAGAAUUUCUGAAACUGUUUACAAGGAAUUUUGAAAAACAGGGGGGAUGUUUAAAAAUAAAAAAAAGAUGCUGGCUCUGUUUUUCUGUAAAUAAAUUUGCAUAUUUUGUAGGACUUUUAAUUGUAAUGAUAGAGAAAAAAAAUCAAGGAAAAAUAUUUAAUGAAAGCACGAUAUUUAUCUUUGGUAAAUGACUUUAGAGCAGUUUAAAAAAAAGUUGCUUUAAAAUCUGAAUCAGAAAAAAAAUAGAAACAAUGAAUUAUUUAAGAACACAUAUAUUUUAAAGUAUAUCAUAUUUAUUAUAAUUUAUUUCCAUUAUGUUAAGGUUUGGUUUUUAAGAGGGGCUUUCCCCCCUCUCAGUUCAUUGGAUUGGACUGAGAAAAACGACAUGGUUCUCUCGGAAUAAUUAUUUGUUUGCCUUUUUGGUUCUUUUGUGGGAAUUUUUUAAAGGGUUAUUUUUUCUCCUUUUUCCCCCCUAUCGGGGCUGAUUUUGAGGUCUCCAUGCUGGCUAAACACCCCUGGGAUUACUUGGGUUGUUUGACUGGGGGGAGACCACCCACAAAACAGCCUCCAACCAGGUGUGUCCCUUGCUGCUGCAGUUCCGUACGACUGCUCUCUGAUUCUCAAUUCCCUAAAACUCCUUGUAAUCUUAUGUAAUUACUGAAUGACGCUUAACCAGCUUAGCCCUAAAUAAAGCACAGUUUAAAAAAAAA